CAGCCGUGCCUGUUAAGUCCUCGGUGAGCUGCGUCAAGCACUCGUUGGAAGUUUUAGUGAAACAAUAUUUAUGAAGACAUCCUAACAUCCUAUGUUUGUGCAGCUGCGGAUCGGAUCUUCCGCAGUCCAGUUGAUACCUAACUGCGGGUCGUGCUGUUGUUUUUCUUAGUUUGGUUUAUUGUGGUGUGAAAAUAGUGUUUGUGCUUUUCAGUUUUUGUUUUUGUGUUUGUUUUGAGUGUGGUGGUUCGAGUUGAGUUGUUUAGGCCGAAUUGGUAGCGGGUCCUCCACUUAAAAUCUAAUUCUAAGUGGUACUGGUUUGUUGCCAGUGAGGUAGGACGCUACUUUACUCCAUUAAUUGGC